rnacentral:rRNA from 1 species
AUUGAACGCUGGCGGCAUGCUUUACACAUGCAAGUCGAACGGCAGCGCGGGCUUCGGCCUGGCGGCGAGUGGCGAACGGGUGAGUAAUACAUCGGAACGUGCCCAGUAGUGGGGGAUAGCUCGGCGAAAGCCGGAUUAAUACCGCAUACGACCUGAGGGUGAAAGCGGGGGAUCUUCGGACCUCGCGCUAUUUGAGCGGCCGAUGGCAGAUUAGCUAGUUGGUGGGGUAAAGGCCUACCAAGGCGACGAUCUGUAGCUGGCCUGAGAGGACGACCAGCCACACUGGGACUGAGACACGGCCCAGACUCCUACGGGAGGCAGCAGUGGGGAAUUUUGGACAAUGGGCGAAAGCCUGAUCCAGCAAUGCCGCGUGUGUGAUGAAGGCCUUCGGGUUGUAAAGCACUUUUGGCGGGAACGAAAAGGACUGUGCCAAUACCACGGUUCGAUGACGGUACCCGCAGAAUAAGCACCGGCUAACUACGUG